UCCGGUAUGGUGUAGUGGCUAGCAUUUGUCGCUUUCAACAGCUUCUUAGUGGAGCAUGACAGCGAUCCGACAAGACCCGGGUUCAAUUCCCGGUACCGGAA